rnacentral:rRNA from 1 species
AAGUCAGUGGUGAAAUCUUUCDGCUUAACUGGAAAACUGCCGUUGAUACUAUUUGUCUUGAAUAUUGCGGAGGUAAGCGGAAUAUGUCAUGUAGCGGUGAAAUGCUUAGAUAUGACAUAGAACACCAAUUGCGAAGGCAGCUUACUACACAAUUAUUGACACUGAGGCACGAAAGCGUGGGUAGCGAACAGGAUUAGAUACCCUGGUAGUCCACGCCCUAAACGAUGAUUACUCGACAUAUGCGAUAUACUGUAUGUGUCUGAGCGAAAGCAUUAAGUAAUCCACCUGGGAAGUACGACCGCAAGGUUGAAACUCAAAGGAAUUGAC